rnacentral:rRNA from 1 species
CCUACGGGUGGCAGCAGUAGGGAAUAUUGCUCAAUGGGGGAAACCCUGAAGCAGCAACGCCGCGUGGAGGAUGAAGGUUUUCGGAUUGUAAACUCCUUUUGUUAGAGAAGAUAAUGACGUUAUCUAACGAAUAAGCACCGGCUAACUCCGUGCCAGCAGCCGCGGUAAUACGGAGGGUCCAAGCGUUACUCGGAAUCACCGGGCGUAAAGAGAGCGUACGCGGGAUAGCAAGUCAGAUGUGAAAUCCUAUGGGUGAACCAUAGAACUGCAUUUGAAACUGUUAUUCUAGAGUAUGGGAGAGGUAGGUGGAAUUCUUGGUGUAGGGGUAAAAUCCGUAGAGAUCAAGAGGAAUACUCAUUGCGAAGGCGACCUGCUAGAACAUAACUGACGCUGAUGCGCGAAAGCGUGGGGAGCAAACAGGAUUAGAUACCCCAGUAGUC